rnacentral:rRNA from 1 species
AUUGAACGCUAGCGGGAUGCUUUACACAUGCAAGUCGAACGGCAGCGCGGACUUCGGUCUGGCGGCGAGUGGCGAACGGGUGAGUAAUGUAUCGGAACGUGCCCAGUAGCGGGGGAUAACUACGCGAAAGCGUAGCUAAUACCGCAUACGCCCUACGGGGGAAAGCAGGGGAUCGUAAGACCUUGCACUAUUGGAGCGGCCGAUAUCGGAUUAGCUAGUUGGUGAGGUAACGGCUCACCAAGGCGACGAUCCGUAGCUGGUUUGAGAGGACGACCAGCCACACUGGGACUGAGACACGGCCCAGACUCCUACGGGAGGCAGCAGUGGGGAAUUUUGGACAAUGGGGGCAACCCUGAUCCAGCCAUCCCGCGUGUGCGAUGAAGGCCUUCGGGUUGUAAAGCACUUUUGGCAGGAAAGAAACGUCGCGGGCUAAUCCCCCGUGGAACUGACGGUACCUGCAGAAUAAGCACCGGCUAACUACGUG